GUGAGUAACACGUGAGCAACCUGCCCUGGACUCUGGGAUAAGCGCUGGAAACGGUGUCUAAUACUGGAUAUGAGCUCUCAUCGCAUGGUGGGGGUUGGAAAGAUUUUUCGGUCUGGGAUGGGCUCGCGGCCUAUCAGCUUGUUGGUGAGGUAAUGGCUCACCAAGGCGUCGACGGGUAGCCGGCCUGAGAGGGUGACCGGCCACACUGGGACUGAGACACGGCCCAGACUCCUACGGGAGGCAGCAGUGGGGAAUAUUGCACAAUGGGCGGAAGCCUGAUGCAGCAACGCCGCGUGAGGGAUGACGGCCUUCGGGUUGUAAACCUCUUUUAGCAGGGAAGAAGCGAGAGUGACGGUACCUGCAGAAAAAGCGCCGGCUAACUACGUGCCAGCAGCCGCGGUAAUACGUAGGGCGCAAGCGUUAUCCGGAAUUAUUGGGCGUAAAGAGCUCGUAGGCGGUUUGUCGCGUCUGCUGUGAAAUCCCGAGGCUCAACCUCGGGCCUGCAGUGGGUACGGGCAGACUAGAGUGCGGUAGGGGAGAUUGGAAUUCCUGGUGUAGCGGUGGAAUGCGCAGAUAUCAGGAGGAACACCGAUGGCGAAGGCAGAUCUCUGGGCCGUAACUGACGCUGAGGAGCGAAAGGGUGGGGAGCAAACAGGCUUAGAUACCCUGGUAGUCCACCCCGUAAACGUUGGGAACUAGUUGUGGGGACCAUUCCACGGUUUCCGUGACGCAGCUAACGCA
rnacentral:rRNA from 1 species